UGAGGAAUAUUGGUCAAUGGGCGCAAGCCUGAACCAGCCAUGCCGCGUGCAGGAAGAAUGCCCUACGGGUUGUAAACUGCUUUUAUUUGGGAAUAAACCUCUUUACGUGUAGAGAGCUGAAGGUACCAAAUGAAUAAGCACCGGCUAACUCCGUGCCAGCAGCCGCGGUAAUACGGAGGGUGCAAGCGUUAUCCGGAAUCAUUGGGUUUAAAGGGUCCGCAGGCGGACCUAUAAGUCAGUGGUGAAAGCCUACAGCUUAACUGGAGAACUGCCAUUGAUACUGUAGGUCUUGAAUUCGGUCGAAGUGGGCGGAAUGUGUAGUGUAGCGGUGAAAUGCAUAGAUAUUACACAGAACACCAAUAGCGAAGGCAGCUCACUAGGCCUGGAUUGACGCUCAGGGACGAAAGCGUGGGGAUCAAACAGG
rnacentral:rRNA from 1 species